UAUAUCUUGACUGAAUCACGCGGUUGCUCCACGGGUUGCAAGAAAGACUCUUUCAGUUCUUUAAAACAAAGGAGCUUUGUUUUUCCUGAUUAAGUUAGUCAUUAUCACCGAUGAGAAAACGCUGACAGGAAACGGCUCAAACCGUGAUCUGAGAUUAAUCGUUAACUAGUCUCAUGACCGCAGAUGUCUACAGAGGACUCCUUUUACUCUUACUCCUUUUUUUGCUGUUAAACACAAAUCUUGGUGUUUCCGUUUGCAUGAGGUCCUACAGCACCUUGCUUUCCAUCUCUUUCAACACCACAACAGCAGCCACAUCAGUCAGUUUCUGUCAACUGGCAGAAUCAAGGAAGUGUGAUUAAUCCACAAUCUCUUCGAGAUGAAAUCUACAAGUUAUUUGAGAAUUUAGAAAGAAGAAUCAUGUUGAAACUGGACCAAAUCCAGAACAACAUUGCAUCAGCGGCUGAAACAAUGCAGCAAUCAACAAGCCAGCCAAGCAGCUCUGUCUCUGAUCUCACAGAGGUGCUGGAGCAGCCCUGUAAGACUGUAGAGGAAUUAGAGUAGCUGUGUGAUGAGCUGAAAGAUGCUGAAUUUCGAAAGAAGAUGAUUCGUUAUCUGUGUCUUCGGAGUGGUGGCAGCUUGGGAGAUGGAAUUCGGAGGAUGCUGAAAAAAAAUUGGAGAUAAUUCCUUAUGGGAAUAUUACAGUUACAAAGGGAGAAAGGGAAAACUUAAAUUUCAACAUCUCCUUAUCAAUAAUGUCAUCAUACGCAAGUUUCAAAACUUGCCACUAAUGACUAAUAAUCUGUCUAUUUCAAGAGAUCACAUUAUUUGGAUUGUAAAUAAGUUGUAAAUAAGAUUUGGUAGGUUGUAAAUGUUGUUACUCCUUUUUAAAUGUAAAAGUUGUAAGUUCUUCUCAAUACAUAUAUAUAUAUGUAUAUUCAUCGGAGAAAGAAGAUUAAUGUUUGAUGUUUUUAGAAUAGAACUUUGUCAUUCUAAUUUCUAGUUUUAAUUUUAAUAAUGGUGAUCUCUGUAUUAAAUCAAGGUGCCUGCAGCAAGGCAUACCCACACCAAAAAUCCCAGAGUGUGGAAGACAUGAUUGCUGUCACCCUAAAACAUGCCCGGAUCGUGAUAAAAAAAAAGUUAAUCAGAGGAAAACUCAAUGUUACGGAUGUGACAUCUCUCCGUAACGGACUUGACAGUUCUGAAAGCAGAAUUUAUCCGACCAAAUGCGUAUAAAAUGCUUUAAAGACUUAUCAGCGACGUCUGGGUACGGCUGCCUCCCAUUAAAGAUUUUUCUAGUAAACUAGUGGUUCGUUUAAGCCAUUAUUCAGCCUAAUGCAGACAAUAAGCAUAAGAACAUCAGAGAUCAUAAAAAAACAAUCAGUAGCUAUAUGUCAUAAGACAACUUACCGUACUUGAUUUCACAGUAAAAGGUAUUUUUCGUACGGCUUUCAUGAGGCUUAAGAUGUAUAAGCGCAUGUGACAAAGUCGUUAUGGAAAUUAAGCUUAAUAAACUCAUGUGCAGACAUCGAGAAUGACGUUUGCAUUUACACAUAGGCUACACAACUUUAACAGAUUCUCCCACUUUAAGGUUUGAGUGACUGUUCACACCAAUAUCCCAGCUAACAAAUAAAGGUCCCCAGAACAUCCCCUAAAUGGCCUCUUGCGAACGUCCUCCGAAUGUCAUCUGAAUGUCAUUUUAUUUUAAUUAAUGAUGACGUUUACAAAUUAAAUUAAUAUGUUAGAAAAGAUUUGAGUGGAUGCUUUUCAGUAUUAACGCAGAAUUUAGCUGUGGUUUCAUCGCAAGGAAACAUUUUAGACAUAUGUUUUAUGACAUGAAUGUGUUCGUUUCAUUGUUUUAAGUUAGAAGCCAACGGGAAGAGCUACCAUCGGAAUAACGCGGAGACACAGCUGCUUUGCUUGACUCAGCCUCCCACCCACGCCCGGAAAAAGCACAUUUUUAAUUUGCUAAAGAGUCAUAUGUAGACUAAUUUAAAAUUGAACCUGUAUGUCGUUUCUGUAGCAUUGAUGUAAUUCGUCUCUUUAUUUUUGCUUAAUUAUACAUUUAUGUAUUUUAUUUUUUCUUGCAAGCCCAUUUAUUCUUUGAUGUUUUGUUAUAGUUGUAUAUAUAUCUUUUAUUUCUUAACAUCUAAUAAAAAAAAAAGAAAGAAAAAAAACCUUUGCAUUUUUAAAAAUAAAAAUGUAGCAAACAUGUUCCAACUAUUUUCACAUGUCUAUUUUCUUUGGUUAGCCUAAAAGUAAAAUAAAAUGACAUUCAGAGGACUUAAAGCGAAAGUCCCCUAAACGUCCCGAAUGGCCGCUGCACAUCCUGUGAACAUCCCCGUGAACAUCAGGACGUCUUCGCGAACGUCCGCUCGACGUCAAGGGGACCCUACACACUAACGUCCGGGAGACAUUCGCAGAGGCCGUUUAGGGGACUUCCUGGGGACCUUUUUAUGUUAGCUGGGUAGCUAUUGAAUGACCUGGAACUCGCAAGACAUCAAUUCAGCUAUAAAACAAGGCAUUACAGAAAAAGAGGAAAACACUAAAUUUUGACCUUAUUGUACGAUCUCAGAUGACUUUAAGUUCACUUACUGCAGUUUAACAAUGGAGAGGCGGUCUCCAGUUACAGCCUUCUCUGCGUUCAUUCAUUCAAGCAGGCGCGUGCUGCUGACAUCACACAAGCUGUGUCCCAAAGCUAAGUGUACGCACUUCGGAGUGCAUGGACUUUGAAGGCCACGCCUCCAAAGUGCACGAAGGACCCUUGGAAGUGCUUGAGACGCUCCGCCUUUGCAGGAUUUACUAAUUGCACAACCAGGUGUUCCGCAUUGCCGCUCCUGUCGCAUAGCAACGGUGCGAGAGGAGAGCUGCCCUCUUGACAGGACAGGUGGAGCCAGAGUUGAUCAUUUUUGUUUCUGUUUUACAUUAUAAUGGAGGAGACGGUGAUGUACCUCAGGCUUAGCCAAGACCGAGGCCAGGACAGCAACACUACAAAAAUAUGGUCUUUUACAACAUGAUGCAUUGUGUAGAUUAAACCCAACAGCACAGGUGCAUCUCAAUAAAUUUGAAUGUCG